UUCCAGUGGCCUCUGUUUAUAUUUAAAACAUAAACACAUAUCUUUUUCAGAUAGUAUUUAGCGUAUUCAUAUGCUAGACAUUUAAUCUAUAAUUGUUUUUAUGUAUUUUAUAUGUAAUUGCAUAUUAUAUGACAUAUAUACAACAUGCAUUCCUAGAGAAUGAUUUGUAUUUGAACCAGAAUCUAAAUUAAGGGCCACACAUGGAGAUCGGUAAGUGUUUUAAAUCGCUUCUUAAAUAGGCUCCUCGACCCCGUGUUGUUUUCCUUGCAAUUGAUUUGUCCCGGAGAGUCUCCCUCGGGCUGGACUUGGCUGGCUGGGUCCCCACUGUGUUUUCUGACCGUGCCUGUGCUCCCUGCAUUUCCCGUGAGCUGCCAUUUGGGUCUAGAGGCUUGUCCUGGUUCGGGCUCGCUGGUUCUGGUUCGACAACUUCACGGGUGUGGGGUGUUUCCUCACCAGGCACAAUACCCUCUGCUUUCUCUUUUUUUGGGAGGUCAGCAGCCAGUCGCCCAUCACGACCUGAGCGCAUGAAUUCACGACAGGCUGCCCGGUGGGGAUAGCAUGAUGCUGUCACUCCUUCUUCGCCCAUUAGUUGGGAUGUUCCUGCUGUGUGUUUGGGCACCAGGGGGUACGGCGUCUAGGAAGUUUCUUUUAAGAAAUAACGUCAGCGUUUCAUUGAAUAUAACGGACGUGCAAUAAACCGCACCUGUUUGAAGUGUGCACUUGGAUAACAAACCCAUCGUUUCCUGAACCCCACUUAUGUACCAGGAUUGCCUGACGAGCUGUGGGCCAGAGCAGCUUUGACGUCAGACAUCCUGGGCCAGAAUCCCGGGGGAAAUCACAAUAGCCAGCUGCGUCACCUUGGGUCACUUGUGUCCUCAGAGAACACAUGGCCCAGGGAGCGGAUGGUUCUAGAAGGAGACACCCGUGGAGUCGACCUGAAUUUGACCUGUGGCCCAGCUAAAUCCAGUCGACCCACAGAAGGAAGCAGAGCCAGCACCGUUGACCUGCAGACCUAUGAGAGGGGAGGAGAGACGUGGCAAGCCUCUGGAUUGGUGGGGAUGUUUGUUACACAGCAGUGUUGUAGCAGAAACCUGACCGAUCCACAGGUAUCAUGGGAGUACCUGCUGCCCAGGAUCGUUGUGGGGAUUAAAUAAGGUAACAUUUAAAAAUAUAUAUUUAAUAUAUUAAAAUAUUUGUUAGAGUCUGGCAUACGGUCACUCUAAAAACAUUAGAUAUUAUUAACCAAAGAUUUUGUGAUGUAAAAAUGUGUUUCUCAAUGUAUACUAUGACAUGCUGAUACAUUUAUUUAACUUCCUAGCAUUGUUUUUUCUUUUCCAAGCCUCGAAAUGUAGAGUAACUGUGUUAUUUACAGAAACACUCACCACAGCUCACAGCCUGGGAUAUGGAUCUCCAGACUCAAGUGUCUCAACCCUGAGGCCCUCCAGUCCGUCUAUUCACUCCCACCCCCACCCAGUGCAGGAACCCGGUCCCCCUGUCCCUCUCUAAGUGUUGCUCAGCCUCUUCUUGAAUCCUUCCCGCGAUGAGGAGCUCCCUGCUUCACAUACCAGCCUGUUUAAUUUCUGAAUCUCCCUCGUGGUAAAGAAGGUUCUCUCUCUUUGCCCUGAUGCAGGGCUGGGGAUUUAAAAUUUUUUAUUUUUAAAAAUUUUAAAAAAGAUUUUAUUUAUUUAUUUAUUUGACAGAGAGAGAGACAGAGAGGGAACACAAGCAGGGGGAGUGGGAGAGGGAGAAGCAGGCUUCCCGCGGAGCAGGGAGCCCAAUGCGGGGCUCCAUCCCAGGACCCUGGGACCAUGACCUGAGCUGAAGGCAGAUGCUUAACGACUGAGCCACCCAGGUGCCCCUAUUUUUUAUUUUUUUUAAAAUUUUAUUUAUUUAUUUGAGAGAGAGAGCAUGAGAUAGAGAGCAUGAGAGGGGGGAGGGUCAGAGAGAGAGACAGACUCCCUGCUGAGCAGGGAGCCCGACGUGGGACUCGAUCCUGGGACUCCAGGAUCAUGACCUGAGCUGAAGGCAGUCACUUAACCAACUGAGCCACCCACGUGCCCUAUUUUUUAUUUUUUUAAAAAGGAUUUUGUUUAUUUAUUUGAGAGAGUGAGCACAGGUGGGGAGGGGGUAGAGGGAGAGGGAGAAGCAGAUUACCCACUGAGCAGGGAGCCCCACAGACACAGGGCUCGAUCCCAGGACCCUGCGAUCAUGACCUGAGCUGAAGGCAGAUGCUUAACCGACUGAGCCACCAGGUGCUCCUUAUUUUUAUUUUUUUUUUAAGUAGGCUUCAUGCCCAGUGUGGGGCUCAAACUCAUGAUCCUGAGAUCAAGAGUCACAUGCUCUACCAUCUGAGCCAGCCAGGAGCCCCUGGAGAUUUUUAAUAGGUUGUUAAUAGCAAGAUCACAGGUUCUGGGUUUCCCACACUUAGUGCUGUGUGACCUUGGGCAAGUGGAUUCACCUCUCUGGGCCUCAGUGUCCUCUGUAAAGUGGAGUAGGGGAGAUAAUAAAAAAUCCAUCUCCCAGGGUGUUGGGAGGAUCCAAAGAGAUACAUGCAGUGGGUUCUCCGUAGAGGAGGGUGCGUGGGGAGGUAGUGUGUAAACCGAGGUUCCCUCUUGCGAUGCAGGAUUAUUCUUUCUUCUUUCCCCUUCUGCUUCAUGUUUCCCUUUCGAAUUGUGAACAUCCCCCACCCACAAUUUUCCAGGUGGCAUGGAGAAACUGUCGGGCGGCUGAGAUGCCCCCUCAGGGUGUAUUCGUGCCUCAGCGGUUGUGGAUCGAGCACUCCUGAUGUGCCUGGCAUCUGUCUAGACCCCAGGUGUCGCAGCAAAUGCUCUGUCCUCAUGGAGCCCACAUUCUGGGGGCGAGAUGGGCAUCAAACCCCGACAGCGUUGAAGGGUAAUUGAGGGAACGUGAUUCUCUGGCCUCGACCUCCCCAGCUCUGAAAUUCAGCAGCAACACAGCUGCUUCCUAAAGAUGUUGUGAGGACGAAAUAAAAGCAGGCAUAUCAAGAAGUGGGGUUCUCCUGGCUUCACUUCUUCCUCCGGCUCACAGAAAUAAGCCCAGGAGAAAAUGCAAGUGAAAGCACCUAGCGUGGGGCGCCCAGGCUCUCGCUCAGCACGCCUGCCCGCCGCGUCCCCACUGCUAGAGCUACUGCGUGCUGAGAGCCCCCGAGCUCAUCCCGCAGCCCUGCUGGCCGCACACCUCGGCCUCUGUCUCGGCUUCCUGUCUCGAGGCCCCAGGACUCAUGGUGUCCGCUGGCUGAGCUUGCUCUGCCCCGUCCUGCCCCCUUUCCCCACCUUGUAGGCUGUUGCUGGAUCCAGAGUGUGGGGGCAGUGGGCUCACCGCUGCGGACAGGAGGCAGGUGGCCCCGCAAGGCUGUGGGUCUCCCUGCCGGGGCACAGCUGGCCCGGACCCAGGCCCUUGGGCUCACAUUCCAGUGCUCUUUCCACUUCUCCUGACUUCAUUUUUCGCGUGUGUGUUUUCCCAGUCUGAACUGGGACCUGUUGCUCUGCUUCUGUGGACCUCGGUUUUCUCAUCUUUGAAAGGGGGCCACAAAGGUGGUCCCCCAGGGGUCACAUGGUGUGGGAAGGGCCUUGGCACCGGCCAGGUGCCAGGAGAGUGCUCAACAAAUGGCGGGUACCGUUAUUCUGGUUGGUAGGGCCGUGGGGUCCUGGGGCCCCAGGACAGAAGGCACCUCAGAUACUCUGGAAGCCCCCUGGCCCAGGCUGGUGGCCUGAUGUGGGCUCAAGGCCAAGAAGUGGUAAAACCAGCAUUCAGACCCAGGCCUGCCUCCCCCGGGCCCGUGUGCCUUACUCCGAUGCUAGAAGCAAAGGGAGCCUCCCAUUCAUUCAGCCAGUGUUUCCUGCCUGCUUGCUGGGUGCCACUGAGGGGCCUUCUCCCGGUGGGUGGGGACAGAUGGCCCUGAGCCAGUCACACUCUCCCCUCUGCACGCGGGUGAGGGGCUGCUGAGGUGCCUGAGUUGUCUGCGUCCCAGGGCCACAGCCGGGCCUUUUUUUCCACGUCUGGAUAGGUGGACCCCGAGGGGUGCCGAGGCCAGACCUCUCCCAGGGACCCCCGUGGCUGCUUCUGUGUUCAGGGUGGGCUCUGUGUUAAUACGUGUUUAUUUGUACACUUGUCCCUUCUUCAGUUGUGCCUUUAUGAUGAAUUCUUGCCCCUGCACGUUUCUCGGGCACACUCGUGGCCCUGGCCUUCACUCUGCUUAGGCAGGCAAGGAAGCCUCCAGACGGUGGUCGCAUAGGGGACCAGGGCUCUGCAGGGUGGGAGCCGCACGUGACUCCUGCCUCUCCCAGGGACAAGGAAGGUUUCGCAGAAGAAGUGACGUUGGGCUCAAGCCUUGUAGGAGGAACAGGGUCUGCUUCGUGCCCGGUGGAGUGUGAGAAGGUGCCAGGGCCUGGGGGCACUUGGGUAAGUGGAGGAGGAGGAGAAGCCCUUGAAGGAGGUGGGGCCGGGAAGUAAUCUGGGCUCAGGGAUGAUUAGUCUGGGGGUCCUAGGGAGCCACUGAAGGUACUUGAGGAGGGGAGUGAUAGGCAGAGCUGGCAGCUGGGACGGAGUGGACCAGAGGCCUGGAGGCCCAGAGGAGGUGGCAGAGGCCUGGGGCCACCUGGCUCAGAUUCUGCCCCUCUGAUGGGGGCUCCUCCCCUUCUCCAGCUACACAGCCCACCCCCCUCUUCCCGGAACCACAACGUUGGGGCAGGGCAGGACCAGGCGGCGGCUUGGGGGAGAGGGGGUGGCCGCUGCUUGACGACAGGCUCAACCCCUCUCCUCUGGGUGCUCCCCUAAAUCUCGAAAUAAAUUAGGCAGAAUCAAAAUCAGACUCUCUUCAUCAGGAGAAAUUACUCAUUUCAAAUAUUUGCAGCAGCUUGAACUGAAAUUUAGCGAGAUGAAGACUUAGAUGAAUAAUCUGGGGCCUUUUCAAAGACAGUUUUUACUCAGCAGUUUUCCUGAUUCCUGAGCAACCCCCCCCCCCCCGCCCAAGCCCCCUCCCAGUCAGGAGCCACCCUCCUGUCUUCUCUCUUGGGCUCCCUCCCUUCACCCCCAACCCUGGUCUAUUUCUUCUCCUUUCGGCUUCUCUUCCCUUGAUUUCAUUCGCUAAAUCUGCAAAUAUUUGCCGAGCGCCUCCUCCUGCCUGGCACCGAGCUUGGCCCGGGGAACCAGCGGCCACGAGAUGAUGCACCCCUGCCCACCUGGAGCGCCUGGGGUUCCUGGGCUCGGGACCUGUCCUGUCUGUUGAAGGGUGUUCGCCCCCUUAUUUGCCCUGAGUGGCACUCCUUAAUAUUUGCAAAAAUUUCCUUUCCACAAUUUUUUUUUUUUUAAAGAAACCUUAUAUAACCAGCUCUCUGGAGGCCCUUCGGAGGCUGGGAGAAAAUCUGGAGAAUUCCACCCCCUCUCCUGACCCCCUUCCUCCUCCGCACGGGCCUGUGGCCUUUGGGAUGGGCGGUGUUUGACGAAAGCCAGGCCUGAGCUCGACCACCCUCAGCAGCCGGAGCCCUACAGGAAGUGGACGGGUGUGCUGGGGUGCCCCGGAGGAGGGGUGUGAGGAGAAAGCAGGAGGUUACAAGGGCUUUCCUGCCCUGCUGUUCCUUGAAAGAAGCUUCCAGACUGGAUGUGGAGGCCAACCAUACUUCCUGGCUCCCAGGGUCCUGGGCUGUCCGGUCUGCUCCGCCAGCUGAUGGGGUGGGAAGAACGUGUGCUGGUCCUGUCUUCCCUGUUGAGAUGAGUAAUGUGUGCACACGG